CACAACACGCACUUUUUAUCAUGGUGAUCAACCUGGGGUUCGUUCGCCUUCACCGGCGAGUGGCCCUGCUUUUUACACACCAUGGCUAACCAUGUAUCAAACCAAACUCUGAAGCUUUGACUGCUAUUAAUCGGCGGUCUUAACCGAGAACAACUCUCAACAACGGAUAUCUUGGCUCUCGCAACGAUGAAGAACGCAGCGAAAUGCGAUACGUAGUGUGAAUUGCAGAAUUCCGUGAACCAUCGAAUCUUUGAACGCAUAUUGCGCUCGACCCUUCGGGGAAGAGCAUGUCUGCCUCAGCGUCGGUUUAAACCUCAUCCCUCCCAUUCACUUGGGUCCAAUUGGCUUGCUCAAGCCGGUUGUCGUGAUGGACCUGACCUCCCCACCGUGUGCCGUGCAUUCUGGUGGGUUGGUUGAAGCACAGAGGCUUAAACUGGGACCCUUAUGGGCUCAACUGGAUAGGUAGCACCACUUGCCUCGCGCGAGUGCCUACACGAAGUUGUGCUUGCGGACCUGGUUAGGAGCCCAGCAGGAAUCAGUCCCUCGGGACUGAAUCAUAG
rnacentral:rRNA from 1 species